AGCGUAAAUUUAUUUGAUAUUUCCGUCGGUCAGAGCUGGCACGUGUUCCUUUCCCUACUGAUACUUCAGUUGCAUCCUCGAUUAUCUGUCGCUGGUCUCAUGUGGUGUGGAUGGCUCCGCAGAGUUAUUAUCUGAGAUUACCACGUGCGACAUGAUCUGAAAACACGUUCAGUGGGGAAUUUUGACUAAGAUGGUACAGUUAUCAAAUCAUAACACAGGUGUUCCAAGGUGAGUUCGGAUGGGAAAAAAUCUGAUGUAGAGCAAAAGGAAAAAAACCUACUAGAUUUUGGUUUUCACUACCAUUACAGUCAGUGAAAGCGUGGCCUAUUGAUCCUUUUGACUACCCGAUUUUAAAAUCUUGAUGCCAGAGGUGACACAAGGCUAC
rnacentral:ncRNA from 1 species